GUCGAGGAUCUUCGGCAAUGGGCGCAAGCCUGACCGAGCGACGCCGCGUGUGCGAUGAAGGCCUUCGGGUUGUAAAGCACUGUCGAGGGGGAGGAAAGCCGAAAGGUCUGACCUAUCCCUGGAGGAAGCACGGGCUAAGUUCGUGCCAGCAGCCGCGGUAAGACGAACCGUGCGAACGUUGUUCGGAAUCACUGGGCUUAAAGGGCGCGUAGGCGGGUGUCCAAGUCAGGGGUGAAAUCCUCCGGCUCAACCGGAGAACUGCCUUUGAUACUGGACGUCUGGAGUGAGGUAGGGGCAUGCGGAACUUCCGGUGGAGCGGUGAAAUGCGUAGAUAUCGGAAGGAACACCGGUGGCGAAGGCGGCGUGCUGGACCUCAACUGACGCUGAGGCGCGAAAGCCAGGGGAGCAAACGGGAUUAGAAACCCGAGUAGUCC
rnacentral:rRNA from 1 species